rfam:Xanthomonas oryzae pv. oryzae KACC10331, complete genome.
AUGUACCACUCGCACACCGCGCGGUUGCUGCGCGCCGUCCAUGUUCACCUGACGACGACCCGCGACGUUUUGGCAGCC